rnacentral:rRNA from 1 species
AAUCCGUUUGAUCCUGGCGGAGGCCACUGCUUUUGGGGUUCGAUUAAGCCAUGCAAGUCGAACGAAUCUUCGGAUUCGUGGCGAACGGCUCAGUAACACGUGGAUAAUCUACCCUUAGGACUGGGAUAACCCUGGGAAACUGGGGAUAAUACCGGAUAGUUAGGAGUUCCUGGAAUGGUCUUCUUUUUAAAUGUUCAGGCGCCUAAGGAUGGAUCUGCGGCAGAUUAGGUAGUUGGUGGGGUAAUGGCCCACCAAGCCUUUG